rnacentral:rRNA from 1 species
GAUGAACGCUGGCGGCGUGCCUAAUACAUGCAAGUCGAGCGAACAGACGAGGAGCUUGCUCCUCUGACGUUAGCGGCGGACGGGUGAGUAACACGUGGAUAACCUACCUAUAAGACUGGGAUAACUUCGGGAAACCGGCGCUAAUACCGGAUAAUAUAUUGAACCGCAUGGUUCAAUAGUGAAAGACGGUUUUGCUGUCACUUAUAGAUGGUUCUGCGCCGCAUUAGCUAGUUGGUAAGGUAACGGCUUACCACGGCAACGAUGCGUAGCCGACCUGAGAGGGUGAUAGGCCACACUGGAACUGAGACACGGUCCAGACGCCUACGGGAGGCAGCAGUAGGGAAUCUGCCGCAAUGGGCGGAAGCUUGACGGAGCAACGCCGCGUGAGUGAUGAAGGUCUUCGGAGCGUAAAACUCUGUUAUGAGGGAAGAACAAAUGUGUAAGUAACUAUGCACGUCUUGACGGUACCUAAUCAGAAAGCCACGGCUAACUACGUG